rnacentral:rRNA from 1 species
ACAAAUGAUUAAAUUCCCUUACUGAAGGCGCCAGAUCCUGUCCGAUCUUGGAGGCAACGCAAGGUCAAUCUUGGCUAGUACUUGGAUAGGGAAUCGCCAAGGAAUACCAGGUGCUGUGUGCU